GGAUUAGAUACCCUGGUAGUCCACGCCGUAAACGAUGUCAACUAGCUGUUGGGAGUUUUCUUAGUAGCGCAGCUAACGCGAUAAGUUGACCGCCUGGGGAGUACGCGCGCAAGCGUAAAACUCAAAGGAAUUGACGGGGGCCCGCACAAGCGGUGGAGCAUGUGGUUUAAUUCGAUGCAACGCGAAGAACCUUACCAGGCCUUGACAUCCUGAGAACUUUCUAGAGAUAGAUCGGUGCCUUCGGGAAUUCAGUGACAGGUGCUGCAUGGCUGUCGUCAGCUCGUGCCG
rnacentral:rRNA from 1 species